rnacentral:lncRNA from 1 species
CCCUGGGCCGUAAACUCCAAUGAAUAUGGUCUUUUGACCUUAAACUUCCAUUAGGGGCAUUGCACUCCUUUGUUGCAACCCAUUAGCCUCCUAGCACUUGACCAAAAGUGUUGUCCUCGCGCUUAAAUGUUUAUACUUGUAUAGUUAGUGAUUAAAUCUCUAAUUAUUUAUAUACAUAUGUCUUCAUAUGUAAUUAGGAUCAUUGUGUGUGUCUAAGUCUUCACUUGACACCAAGCACUUGUCCGAUCCUUCCGUACGAUAACAGCCCGUUCAAUUCCAGUCACAUACUGCAGGUGAGUUCAUACCCCUUAACUAAUGUUUUAAACUAUUUUAAAUGUUUUAUGGGGGGGGGGAUACAAGUAGAAUCAUGCUACUUAUUAUGUCAAUCACAUGUGAUUAGUAAGUAGGAUUAUAUUACUUAUUACAUCAAUCACAUGUGAUUAAUAUACAUCAUUCAAAAGAUUUGGGUACUCAUUAGCCGUUUUACCAAACAGUUUCCUUCAAAUGAUUUUUAUAAACAUUUUAUAUGUUUCAAACUACUUAUUACACUAUACAUCUUACUCUGUACAUCUCCUUUCAAACUUAUUUACAAUUGUGUUUCAAACUACUUACUACACUGUACAUCUUACUCUGUACAUUUCCUUUCAAACUUAUUUACAACUGUGUUUCAAACUACUUAUUACACUGUACAUCUUACUCUGUACAUUUCCUUUCAAACUUAUUUACAACUGUGUUUCAAACAAAUGUUUCUUUAUACUCAAAACUGUUUAUUCAUACUUAUGCCUUCAAAUUGUUUUAUAGAUUGACAUCAAGUCGAUCUUUUCUUAAAAUAAUAUUUAUAUUUCAAAUGUCUUACAAAACUUAUUUAUGAUUUUAUAUUAUAAAUUGCAUGCCUCUAUAUGUAUAGUUAUAUAAGAAAUGUUUAAAAGACUUAGGAAGGCUAUCCACCCUAUUUCCUUUUCGCGCCUUGAGAUGUGGUCUGGUGGGAUAUCG